rnacentral:lncRNA from 1 species
GCCGUCGGAAAGGUCUUGCUUGGUCUCCUCUCUAGCGGGCGGAGAGUUCCAAUGGUCCAGAUUGCCUGGGCAUCCCUGACCCCUCCGGACCACUUCCCUAGAGGGCAUCCUGUGCCCGACUGCUGGGCUGGCAUUUGCAGAGUACAGAUCUAGGCUGUCUGGAUUAUACUACACAUGAAGAGCCUACUGUUUGCAAAAAUUGACUUUUCUUUCCCGCGGCCACGCUGCAAAGGAUGGAGCUCCAGCAGCGAAGCAGCAGUCACUGGUCUAGCUGAAGAGGAAGGAGCCAGGCUCCUGCUUCGUAACCGAGGCAUCUAGCAUCCAGCCAAAGAACUUUUUUGCCUCUGACUAAGGAGCCACUGGUUAUCGGAGCCGGCUCAAUUGAAUACCCAUUCGGAUGAAAGAGUGAAGUAUAAAAUAACAAGGUAGCACAAAAAGCUGGGAAGAGGGACUCGAUGAGAUCACGUAGACGCCCCCAGGAUCAGAUCCUAAAUGCCGAUCUUCAAACACCAGCAUCACAUCCAGAGAGGCCAGAGGGUCCCAAGACAAAACAAGCCGGGGCCAAGACGCACUCAGAGCUCCUAUCUCACCCUCUUAGGGGUGUGCUCGGGGCACCAGAUGGGUUAUUAAAUGUUAUUCUCUUUCUCCCUUUUUGGUUAAGCAGAGGACUGCAGAGGAAAGCCUCUGAAUCAAAUGUUUGCUCCACACAGUUCAACUGAAAUGUAGGUUGUGAUGAGUGGACACGUGCUCCACAGCUAAGAGACCAACCGAGGGCAUCCUAUCCCACUCGUGGGUCUAAGGGGAGACUUACAGAAGGCAUACUUACUCUGAAGAUGGAAUGAUAGCUGAAGAGACAGAGUGAUGCCUAGGGCCUGUCAGACACCCAGUUUAGCCUAAUACAGAAAAGCACGGAGGUGAGAAACAACAGGGUGAAUCCAAGGAAAUUCAACAGGAGCAUGUGAGAGGCAGGAGCCAGGGAGAGUUAGACAUGGCCCGAAACAAGUUCUCCCCUCCACCCUGAGGAAUUCUGGUGCUUCAGCACUGGCUCCUGAAGAAUUGGGGAAACUUCCCAGAAGGUUGUCAGCCUCUCUCCGGCAGGAGCUUUACAGAGGUCUGUGGACACUUCAGAGCACCCACACGGGCCAGAGAAGUAACUGGUCACGAGGCUUCCCCCAGGGGGACUUCCUCACUCAAGCGACACAUUAAACUCUGAGUCAAUGAAUGCCAGAGGUUAGGGGUAAAGAUGACAGCACUUCACCUCAAGCUACCUCCUAGUUUUCAUAAAGUUUGGAAUUGAAGCUGACGAGAUGUAGACUCACCGUAAAGAGCUGGAAGCAGCAAGCAUAUCUGUGGCCCAUGAAAAGGGAGAGGGGGACCAGGAGGGCAUGGGCUGGAGAAGGACGAGGUUGUGUCCAGAGGAAUGGAGCAAUUAAACUUUAAACUAUUCUUUUCAUAAUUCUUGUUUCUGGCUUGAUUUCCCGCCCCCUUAUUAUUAUUUUUUUAGACAGUCUUGCAGCGUAGCUCAGGCUCAAGCCAAUUCUCUCCCCCACCGGCCCUUUAUUAUUUAUUUUUAGACAGUCUUGCUGCGCAGCUCAGGCUGGCCUUCAGUUCCUACCCUGCCUCAGCCUUCCUGAGGCCGAAAGUGCAAGUGUACACCCCGCAUGCCCAGUCUGUUUCCUGUCCUCCUACUGAAGCAGUUCCUACCUUGAGCAUCGUAACAACAAACCCACUGCAAGUCAGAAAUGCACCCAGGGCUGGGGAGAUGGCUCAGCGGUUAAAGGUCUCGGUGCUCAAGCAAAAGAUUGGAUCUCCCAAAUCCACGUAAACUCCAGGUGGGCACAGCAGCUCGCUUGUGUCCCAGCGGUUGAAAGACAGGGUCUCUCCUUGCUCUGGAGCUC